rnacentral:lncRNA from 1 species
CAAUAUUGAAGUUUAGUGAAAUCCCACCUUGCUGAGAAGCAGUACUCCUGCUGCUUGAAUCUCAAGCCACAGAGCAACUAGGAAUGCAGCCUUCCUCUAAUCUGCCAUCUUUCUUUCUUUCCCAACAAAGGAUUUUCAACAGAGGGAAAGAAAGGCCAAUACAAUGGGAAAUCGGCUCAUUUCUAAUUUACUGACCAUCAAAACYCCCACCACUACCUCCAUCUGCUCUUGUCUCCCUAGAGAGAAACUUGAAGAAUGACUUCUCUUCUUGACUUGUCUCCUCAAUGAACAGAAACCCAGGGACUUGCCUCUCCAUGGAGUCCUACAGAACUGAGAGGGGAGCCGUGAAGCCACUGGAAUGAGAACUGGCCCAGGGUCCAGGGUGGCGCAUGGUCCUGGCCGGCUCCCCAGGCUCUGGCCCAGCGCUGGCACCAGGCAGCCUGACUCRUUGCCCAACACCACCAGCAUGAGGCAUGGACCUCCCACAUCGGUUUAAUGCAACACCUCUGCUUCUUGGCCAGCUCUGCCUAAGGAAGCAACCCUGAUUUGUUCUCUGUGCUCUCAGAAACUUUGGGUUUUUUAGCUGCUUCUGGCAAUUCUCAAACAUAUCCAAAAGUGGGGAGAACAAUAGAAACAGCACAAAGAACCCUCCUGUGCCUGCACCCAGCUUUGACRAUUAUCAAUGUGUUGUCCAGCUGAGUUUCUUUUAAAAAGAACUCUUUUUUUUCUCCAAAAUGAGACUCUCCUUUUCCAAGGACAAAAAGUAUCUGUUGUAAGAAGAAAAAGAGAAAUUGGAUGUAAAACAGACAGCUCUGUCUGCACAGAGGAAGCACCCAAUGAAUGUUUAUUGCUGUUCUUUGUCAUAUAAAAACAACCUCUGUUAGACUUUCCUAGAGAGUCAAAGAGUGGGUAAGCCCUUACCUCUGGCACCUAACCAAUGUGGGUUGGAACACAGUUCUGCUGGUCACUAGCUGCAUAAUAUUUAGUCUUUUGUUAACUCACAGAAGUUCUUUUUCUCAUCUGUAACACUGGAAGUGAACAUAAUGUUCCAUCUCUUAGGGUCAUCAGGAAAAUCUAAAAUGAUAACACAUGUACUUCUUAAUGCCAAGCACAUAGGUGUUCAAUAAAUGUUAACGGCCUUUUAAUUUCA